AUAAGAGUACACCCUAAUCCUAGCAAAAGGACUUAGUUCAUGAUUAAACUAAUGACAAACAUGGAUGAAUUUGAUGACAUAAAGAAACCCAAAACCCCAAUUCUGGAACCGUGUGCGAUAAACCCCAAAACUGCCACCUUCUGUCAAGAGUACCCCCACUGGAAGGCUGGAGUAUCGUAUUAUCUCCCCCCCCCUUGCGGCUGCUAAAAACCUUUUUCUUUCUAUGCCUUUCCUUUUGGUUGCCUAAUCCACAUGCCGUUUGGACUCUCAAACCCAAUUCUUUUUGGGAAAACACAUCACCGCAUGCUUGCACCGCCUAAUUUUAUUGGGCUUGCUUUAAUGAUCCAAUUUCCUAUAUGAUGUAUUGUUCCAUUCUUUGCUCCAGCCCAUCAGUCACAUCCCAUUCGAUAAUUCUUUGAGUUUCUCUAAUUUAAGCUUCUAAUUCCCUGCUUUAUUCACGAAUUAUGUUCUCUACAAAAAUUGCACAAAAACACAUCAAACUCACCAAUUUACUAUAAAAUCAUGACUAAGUUAUAGGUAAAAGAGUUAUCAAAUAUAUAUAAAAUAUCACCCUAACAAAUACCCCUAAACCUAUCUUUUGCUAGUCCUCGAGCAAAACAUAAAACAAAAAUAAGAAACUGACUAAAACAAGUCUAACUAAACCCACUUUCGCUGGCAAAACGAUUGCACUGAGCAUGUGCAACAAGCCUUUAAACCCCUAGGUGUCCCUAGUCGGAGGAGUUGUGUCUCCUGAGGGUUUACUAGUUAGUCUACCCACAAAUGCUUUACUAAAAAGCAAAGGUGUUACAGUUAUCACUUCCAUCAAUUAAUGAAAACCAAUGCAUGCCAAUCAUACUUCCAAAACUAAAGUUAUGCCCUUAUAAUGCAUCACAAUGGAAAGUAUGAAGCCAACAUCCCAAGCACUCGGGCUUAAAAACAUCCAUACUUGGCGUGUGUACAAAUUCGCCUCGACUCUAAGCCUCACUAGAUAUCACUCUAUUUUCUCAGAGAACCUAGGCUUUCUCUCUUAACAAGCAUAUGUGAUGAUUUUAUGCAAAAGGAAUCAAUAUAUAAUCACAUAUGAUCAACAUUGGAAAACAGCCAUUUCUGAAAAUAGAUCUCAUGAAAAGAAUCGAAUACUAAGAACAUUGGUAUCAACCUUCACCAAAAAAGCUAGACUUCCCCAUAAAUCCGUUAGGUCUUUGAAAUGGUUGUAACGUAAGGCUAGGUAUUUGGGCUAAAAAAAAAAUAAUAAGGAAAAACAAGAACUUGAGAGACACUACGACUUCUUUGUAUAUACGUAGGCUGGCAGCCCUUUGAAAUUUGAUGUGAUUGAUGGCGUCCAGGACUCAUGUUAUACUGAAUGGUACAAUUUCUCUUCUUUUUCUUUUUCUUUUUCUUGAUUUUUUUUUUUUUAUAACUACAAGAUAAAGGAGGAGGGGGAGGGCGUCAGGUAGUCGACAGCCGGCACUCCAUGAUCACGUCGAAUCCUUAUGAAAACUACAAGAAAUAAAAAUAAGCCACAUGGUACCUCGGUACACGCCACUACGUUGAUGUAGAAUUCAACCUUGAUUUCUUUUGGUAUCACCUUGGUAUCUCUCAAGCUAUAUGGUAUGGCUAAUAUAGGGUAGAGUGGAUAAGAUUUUAUGUGAGUGAUGAAAGAAAAGGCUAAGUGUUUGGCUUCAAUGGGGUUAAUGGAGCACACAAAAGGGUAGGGAAUAGGUCUUUUAGUGGUGGAAAACAUGCAUAGCCUAACUUCGUUUCUAUAGUUCCGUCUAACCCAAUGGCAAGAAUACCCAACAUAUAUUAAAGUUCUUUAGUACCCAAUGCAAAAUAAUGUUAAUGAGAUAAUAAAAAUUAAAGAAAGAAAUUGAAAAGUGUUUAGGAGUAGAAACAAAUUAACCCUCUCAAGAAAAGCUUAGGCUCAACAACUCACAUGGGUAGUCUCCACUAUUUCUCCACAUCAUCCAAACAUGGACAAUUUCUCCACCAAAGUACUUGAGACAUGGCAAAAUGAAUGGUAAAAAAAAAAAAAUAUGUGAUGCAAAAACCUUCUAGGCAACCCUUUAGCAAAGGAAAAAUUCUUAGCAAGACAUAUACAUCGCCAUUAAUAUGCUAAAGUGAAUACCUUAACAACUUAUGCUUCCAAGCUCUUAUUGUUUCCAACAAAUUCUAACACCCAAUCCCAAAAUUUUAAUUCCUACCUCAUCCUAUAAAUUUUAACAAAACAAUUCAUCACAUAAGGAUGUAUAAAUAUAAGCAUGAAAGAAAGUAAGAGAAUAGGAAGAGAAUACACCUAUUUUUGGCCAUCAUGGAAGAUGGAAUGGCUUUAAAAAUAAUGAAUUCCGAGCCAAAAUUGUUGCCUUCAUCAUAGGAUAAAAAUCUGCCAACAAUCAGCAAAACUGACUUUCAGUGACAAAAAUAAUUCCCAGAAACCGUCGCUAAAAGUAUGAACAAGCCUUUCGUGACAGAGAAAGUCUUUGAAGGUCGUCACUAAAGCUUUUUUAUGACAGAAAAUCUGCAGAAAUUAUGCAGCAAUUUACAUGUUUAUUUUCACUUUUUGAGCUUCUAAACCUCCCAAUUCACAAUGUAGGUCUAAUUUUUUGUCCCAAACCUAUUCCAACACAUCAUAUUAACCAUUCUAAACAUGUUAGCAUCACCAAAUUACUUGAAAAACAUCCAAAAUCAAUUUAGGUAGAUAAGUUGAUUAUGACCAAAAUAUGAACUCAAAGUGCAAUUUUGCAAUUUCUUUUGCACAUAACAACAAAACCACUCCAAACACAUUUGAAAUGACAAACUAAACAUGUUCAAAUCAUCAUGUGGGUGAAGAAAUCAAUAUUAUUAAACUUGGAACAUAAAAACCUUAGCUGUUGACCUUAAAAACAAAAAUUCAAAUGAAUCAACCAAACUAACAAAAAAACUAGGCUCUCCCCCCAAACCUAAACUAAACAUUGUCCUCAAUGCAAAAUCACAACAAAAAGAUGCACAAUGAGUAGUACGGAACAGAAAGGAAGAAAAUGCAAAACUAAUAAACAAGGAAAGGAACGAAUGAAACUGGUUGGGUUGCCUCCCAACAAGCGCUUAGUUUAAAGUCCUCAGCCCGACUUGGCAUUGCAAUCAAUCGGGAGAAGCAAGGGUCACAACAUUCGUGUUUCGCUCAAAACUGGCAGCAAGAUAUGGCUUCAAUCGCUGUCCAUUAACUUUGAAUGUAGCAUCUGUUGUAUGAUCACGAAUUUCAAUCGUUCCAUAUGGAAAAACUUGAACAACUGUAAAAGGACCAAACCAUCAUGUUCGCAACUUCCCAGGGAAAAGUUUCAGCCGAGAAUUAAACAAAAGAACUUGCUGGCCAAUAUAAAACUCACGACAAAGAAUAUGUUGAUCAUGCCACUUUUUGGUACGUUCCUUGUAGAUUUUAGCAUUUUCAUAUGCAUCAUGCAUCCGAAAUUCUUCCAUCUCGUUCAAUUGAAGAGCUCUCUUUUCUCCCGCUGCGUCCAUCUCAAAAUUAAGCUUCUUCACUGCCCAAAAUGCUUUAUGUUCCAGUUCCACAGGUAGAUGACAUGCUUUUCCAAACACCAAUCGAUAUGGAGACAUGCCAAUUGGAGUCUUGAAUGCAGUCCGAUACGCCCAUAGCGCAUCAUCCAACUUUGCAGCCCAAUCUUUGCGUGAAAGUCCCACGGUCUUCUCUAAAAUAUUCUUGAUCUCUCGAUUGGAAAUCUCAGCCUGCCCACUAGUUUGUGGAUGAUAAGGUGUAGCAACCUUAUGUGUGAUUCCAUAUUUUUGCCAAAAGAGCAGCAUUGAAGUGAUGAUUACAAAAGUGCUUGCCUCCAUCACUAAUAAUGGCGCGCGGGGUGCAAAAAGCGAGUGAAUAUGCUUCCGGAGAAAAUGAACAACAACCUUAGCAUCAUUAGUAGGUAAAGCAAUUGCUUCAACCCAUUUUGAAACAUAAUCCACAGCUACCAAGAUGUAUUGAUUUCCGUAAGAUGAUGGAAAUGGUCCCAUGAAAUCAAUACCCCAAACAUCAAAAAGUUCGACUUCUAGAAUAUUAUUCAGCGGCAUUUGAUGUCUACUUGAGAUAUUUCCAACACGUUGGCAGCGAUCACAUGUAGAAACAAAAGUAUGAGCAUCCUUAAACAAUGUAGGCCACCAAAAACUAGAUUGUAGUACCUUGGCAGCAGUCUUUGUGGCACCAAAAUGACCACCACAUGCUAGAGAAUGGCAAUGUCGCAAGAUUUCCUCCAUCUCGUCAUCAGGAACACACCGUCUUAUACAUUGAUCUGGACAAUGCUUCCACAAGUACGACUCAUCCCAAUAGUAAUGUCUGACUAACGAAAUGAAUCUUUUCUUCUGUUGCCACAUCAAAUCAGGAGGCAUGAUAUCACUACUAACUAAAAAUAAUUGACAUAAUCUGCAUACCAAGGAGUGACUGAAGAUUUAAUGGUAAAGAGCUGCUCGUCAGGGAAUGUUUCGGAGAUAGGAACUAAGUCAUUAUCACCUUCAUGAUGCAUAAUUCGAGAAAGAUGAUCCGCCACCAUAUUUUCAGACCCCUUUUUAUCCUGUAUCUCUAAAUCAAACUCUUGUAGUAACAACACCCAUCGAAUCAAUCGAGGCUUUGCAUCUUUCUUGGAUAAUAAAUACUUCAAAGCUGAGUGAUCGGUGUAGACAAUUACCUUUGAACCAAUGAGAUAAGAACAGAAUUUGUCUAAAGCAAAGACAACGGCUAGAAGCUCUUUCUCGGUAGUGGCAUAAUUCAAUUGUGCGUCAUUGAGAGUUCGACUAGCAUAAUAAAUCACAUGCAGUAGCUUAUCUCUCCGCUGACCCAAAACUGCUCCAAUAGCAUAGUCACUUGCAUCACACAUAAUCUCAAAAGGUAAUUCCCAAUCCGGUGCAACUAUCACAAGAGCUGUCGUGAGCUUCAUUUUCAACACAUUGAACGCCUCAAAACAUGAUGAAUCGAAUACAAACUCCGCUUCUUUCAGGAGCAAGUUACACAACGGUUUUGUAAUCUUAGAGAAAUCCUUAAUAAAACGUCGAUAAAAACCAGCAUAACCAAGGAAACUUCGAACUCCUUUGAUGGAAGUGGGUGGCGGUAACUUUGAAAUUGUCUCAAUUUUCACCUUGUCUACCUCAAUGCCGUUGACCGAAACUUUAUGACCCAAAACAAUCCCUUCUUGCACCAUAAAGUGACAUUUUUCCCAAUUUAGAACUAAAUUGGUUUCUUCACAUCUUUGCAACACCGAGGACAAAUUAUCCAGACAAGAAUCAAAUGAUGAGCCAAAAACUGAGAAGUCAUCCAUGAAUACCUCAAUACAACGCUCUACCAAGUCAAAAAAAAUACUCAUCAUGCACCUUUGAAAAGUAGCAGGCGCGUUACACAACCCAAAAGGCAUACGCCUAUACGCAAAAGUACCGAAAGGGCAUGUGAAUGUCGUCUUUUCUUGGUCUUCUGGUGCAAUCGGAAUCUGAUUAUAACCAGAGUACCCAUCUAAAAAACAAUAGUAAGCAUAUCCAGCAAGUCUAUCCAACAUCAAAUCAAUGAAUGGAAAAGGAAAAUGAUCUUUUCGAGUCUCAUUGUUCAAUUUCCUAUAGUCAGUGCAUACUCUCCAUCCUGUUGUAGUCCUCGUUGGAAUUAACUCAUUCUUGUCAUUCUUAACCACUGUAACUCCACCCUUUUUCGGUACCAAAUGCAAAGCACUCACCCAUUUACUGUCCGAAAUUGGAUAUAUUAUUCCAGCGUCUAAUAACUUCAAAAUCUCAGCUCGUACCACCUCUUUCAUAUUUGGAUUUAAUCUGCGUUGAUGCUCAACUGAAGGCUUGUAAUUGUCAUCCAACAAGAUCCGAUGCAUACAAAUGGACGGACUAAUUCCUUUGAUGUCAGCAAUACUCCACCCAAUUGCCAUUCUAUGCGUUCUUAACACUCUCAAUAGUUUUUCUUCUUCAACUUCACUCAAAUAUGCAGAAAUUAUAACAGGUAAAGUCUCAGCAGCUCCCAAGAAAGCAUACUUUAAAUGUGAUGGCAAUGGUUUCAAAUUUAAGGUAGGUGUGGCUAUGAUACUUGGCGGCGAUUUUGUAGGUACAGAUCCAAGGUCUUCGAACUCCAAUCGUCCACUCUUUGUAACUGAUUUAAAAGCAUCCAAAUAAAGAGCACAUUCCGCUAACAGUUGAUUUUCAUCUUCUGAAGUAGCAGUAUGAACUAGUGCAGCUUCCAUAGGAUCACUGGGCUUCUCAACUCUGAAUUUUUCAGAAAUCGCGGUCUCAACUAAAUCAAUGCGAAAACAAUCUUCCGCAUCUCUUGGAAAUUUUCCAGCCUCGAACACUUUGAAUGUUGCUUUCUCUUCCCCAAUUCUCAAUGUCAAAACCCUUGUCCACAUCAAUUAAAGUCCUAGCUGUGAUCAAUUAAAGUCCUAGCUGUGAUAAGAAAUGGCCAACCCAAAAUCAACUGAGUCUCAUAAUCUUCUUCCAUAUCCAACACCAAGAAAUCUGCUGGAAAAAUCAGCUUGUCAACCUUCACUAACACAUCUUCGAUAAUUCCCUCUGGAUAUGCAAUUGAUCUAUCCGCCAUCUGCAAAGAAACAGUAGUGGGUUUAAUUUCACCUAUUCCAAUGUUCUUAGCAACCGAUAAAGGUAAUAAAUUAAUACUAGACCCCAAAUCACAUAAUGCUUUUUCAAAUAAAUUAGUGCCAAUAACGCAUGGAAUUUUGAAACUCCCUCUAUCUUUUUGCUUGAGCGGAAGCUUUCUUUUAAGGAUUGCACUGCAUUCUUCUGUCAAUUGAAUCUUCUCAUGAUCGCCAAAUUUCCUUUUCUUUGAGAUGAUAUCCUUCAUGAAUUUAGCAUAAUUUGGCAUCUGCUCCAAAGCAUCAGCAAAUGGAAUAUUAAUCUCCAAUUUCUUAAACAUCUCUAAGAAUUUGAAAUACUUCUCAUCUAACAUAUUCUUCUUGAGCCGUUGAGGAAAACGAAUAGGAGGCACAUAUGGCUUCACGGGUUGGACAACAGGCUUAGGGAGUGGCGUGGCUGCAAUGACUGAUUGUGGUGAAGCUUUUGAGGUGGUUCCCAGUAUAGCUAGUGGCUGUACAACAUCGGACAGUGGCUGCUCCUCUUGUGAAAUGGUUUCUACCUUUUCUUCCUCAUUGUUUUUCUCAAAAUCAGCUGCUGUUUUCACUUGUUUCCCUCUUCGAAGAGUUAUUGCUUUAGCUUGCUCAUGGUUUCUCGGAUUAACUUCAGUUUGGCUUGGAAAAGAACCUUUUUCUCUAACUGCCAAAGAAUGAGCUAACUGCCCCAUUUGAAUCUCCAAAUUUUUUAUUGAGGCAGCCUGGUUCUGAAGAGUUGUCUCAGUUUUGCUCAUAAAUUGAUUUGUAUUGACAGAAAGAGUAUUCACGUUACCAGCAAGCUGUGCAAUGACAUCUUCCAAAUUAUUCUUCUUCUCUUGAGGUUGGAAACCAGAUGGUGGCUUUUGUACAUUCUGAUUAUUAACCCAUGAGAGAUUUGGAUAGUUUCUCCAUCCUUGAUUAUAAGUAUUGGAGUAUGGAUCAUUACCAGGACGUCUGUAAGCACUCACCAUGUUCGCUUGCUCUUGAACAAAUUCUGGAAAAUCAACACUAUACGGACAACCAACUGUGGCAUGACCAGGAACUGCACAUAUGGAACAAACCUCUUGAACUGAUGCUCUCCCAUUCAUAGAAAGCAAAGUGUCAAGUUUACUAGCAAUCGCAUCGACUUGUGCCUUUGAAGCAAAUUCGGUAGAAUUAUUAAUCUCAAAAACUCCUGCUCGUCUUCCUCUUGCUUCAGAAUGUUGUGUUUCGAGUGCUAGAGUAUCAAAAAGUGCUUGACAUUCGGCUGGCGUCUUGUUCUUAAUUGAUCCCCCUGCAUAGUUGUUCACUGCAGCUUUGCUUGAAACUGUUAAUCCUUUAUAAAAUAUCCGCAUGAGAACUAGAGUAGGCAAACCAUGGUGCGGACACUGAAUCAACAAAUUAUUAAAUCUCUCCCAUGCCUCAGAAAACGUCUCAUCUGCCUGUUGAGUGAAUUGCAUGAUAUUAUCUCUAAGGGUAUCGGUCUUCUGGGUCGAGAAGAAUUUCUCCAAAAAUUUAUUCUGAAUAUCGUUCCAACUCGUCAAGGUUCUAGGCCUCAAAGAAUUCAACCAAGUCUUCGCUUGGUCUUUCAUAGUGUAUGGAAAGACCUUCAUCCUGAGAUGUUCCUCGGUGACUCCUUCUACCAAUGCCAUGUUGGACACCAUAUUGAAGAUAUCUCUAAUAUGUGCCAAUGGAUCUUCAAUGCUCAUGCCAUGAAAAGAAGGCAUCAUAUUAAAGUGGAUAGUCUUCAAUUCAUAAUUCCUUGCAGCUGCAGGAAGAGCUAUGCUCGACGGUGAUUCCAGAAUGGUUGGAAUAUCAAGAUCUCCCAUCGUUUCAUUCUGAACUAACGCCAUCUUGCUCUCGUGCUGCUGUUCUUUCUCACCGACUUCUCUUUGGUCUCUUCGGAUUUCACGGAGUCUUUUCUCAAUUUCUGGUUCAAACUCAAGUAAUACACAAUCCGACGAACGAGUACCAAGCAUUCACCUUUAAGAAACAAUGAAAAAGAAAGAAAAAAAAAAUGAGAAUGCACCAAGAAAAAUUGAUCAAAAUUUAAAAAAAACGAAAAUAAAAAUUAAAUAAACUGAAAAUCACAAAAGUAAACUUAAAUUAAAUUCGAUCCAAGGCAGCGGCGCCAAAAACUUGUUGUUGAUAAUUGCAAGUGUACAAUAUCGUCCAAGUAAUAUAGUGAUAAGUAGAGUGUCGUUCAAACAUGGAUCGGAUUAACCUAAAUUUACUAUUGAGAUUGACUUCAAACUAAACUUAAAUAAAAGAUGGAUUACGAUGACAAAUUCAAAUAUGCAAAGAACCCAAACGAAAGUGAAAAUAUCAAUUGAACAAACACGAAGUAAAAGUGAAUGAAUUAUGAAAAAUUAAUAUAUUGAAGCACUAGGACAUCAGGUUCCUCGUUCUCAAUCCCAUCUAAUCCCGUUAUUCAUAUUAAACUCAAAUUAUUCCCAUGUUGCUAGCAAUUAUCCCUUGAUUCGUCAAUAUUUUCUUUCAGAAUAUACUAACUGUGUUUCUAACUAUCUACCCAUGCUAUGUCUAGCCACAAAAGUAGAUAAUCAAAACCCUUUAUGCUAAAUGGAUAAUUUCACAAUACUACACAAGUCAUAACCAGUAUGUCUACUCAAUUAUGUAAUUCAUGAUAAUUGUUAUGAGAAGCAAUCUACUAAACUCAACCUGUCAGUCCCAAUUUAGUUCUUCACACAAAUAAUGGCCAGUUAUUUGAUAACGAUAAAGCACAAUAACAAUUACACAACAUGGAAAACAACCGAGUUCAAUAUGAAAUAAUAAGAAUUAGAUGUUCAUGAUAAGAGUACACCCUAAUCCUAGCAAAAAGACUUAGUUCAUGAUUAAACUAAUGACAAACAUGGAUGAAUUUGAUGACAUAAAGAAACCCAAAACCCCAAUUCUGGAACCGUGUGCGAUAAACCCCAAAACUGCCACCUUCUGUCAAGAGUACCCCCACUGGAAGGCUGGAGUAUCGUAUUAUCUCCCCCCCUUGCGGCUGCUAAAAACCUUUUUCUUCUAUGCCUUUCCUUUUGGUUGCCUAAUCCACAUGCCGUUUGGACUCUCAAACCCAAUUCUUUUUGGGAAAACACAUCACCGCAUGCUUGCACCGCCUAAUUUUAUUGGGCUUGCUUUAAUGAUCCAAUUUCCUAUAUGAUGUAUUGUUCCAUUCUUUGCUCCAGCCCAUCAGUCACAUCCCAUUCGAUAAUUCUUUGAGUUUCUCUAAUUUAAGCUUCCAAUUCCCUGCUUUAUUCACG
rnacentral:lncRNA from 1 species